GGUGAACGCUGGCGGUAGGCCUAACACAUGCAAGUCGAACGGCAGCACAGUAAGAGCUUGCUCUUACGGGUGGCGAGUGGCGGACGGGUGAGGAAUACAUCGGAAUCUACUUUUUCGUGGGGGAUAACGUAGGGAAACUUACGCUAAUACCGCAUACGACCUACGGGUGAAAGCAGGGGAUCUUCGGACCUUGCGCGAUUGAAUGAGCCGAUGUCGGAUUAGCUAGUUGGCGGGGUAAAGGCCCACCAAGGCGACGAUCCGUAGCUGGUCUGAGAGGAUGAUCAGCCACACUGGAACUGAGACACGGUCCAGACUCCUACGGGAGGCAGCAGUGGGGAAUAUUGGACAAUGGGCGCAAGCCUGAUCCAGCCAUACCGCGUGUGUGAAGAAGGCCUUCGGGUUGUAAAGCCCUUUUGUUGGGAAAGAAAAGCAGCAGGUUAAUACCCCGCUGUUCUGACGGUACCCAAAGAAUAAGCACCGGCUAACUUCGUG
rnacentral:rRNA from 1 species